UCCGGUUUGGCACCGGCAGUCUCCAAUGAGUCCCCGGCAUUACCCGCUGGCAACAUUGGACAGGGGUUGCGCUCGUUGCGCCACUUAAGGCAACACCUCACGACACGAGCUGACGACAGCCAUGCAGCACCUAACUGCAGGUUCCCCGAAGGGCACUCCCAGCUUUCGCCCGGAUUCCUGCACUUUCUAGCCCAGGUAAGGUUCUUCGCGUUGCGUCGAAUUAAACAACAUGCUCCACCGCUUGUGCGGGCCCCCGUCAAUUCCUUUGAGUUUUAGCCUUGCGGCCGUACUCCCCAGGCGGAGUGCUUAACGCGUUAGCUUCGGCACCACGAGGGUCAAAGCCCGUGACACCUAGCACUCAUCGUUUACGGCGUGGACUAC
rnacentral:misc_RNA from 1 species